UUGACUUAGGCCUCGGGCUCGAUUCUGGGCGAAACUUUUCGGGCGGUCUCCCGACAGCCUAUUGAGUGGACCUGGUUGUUUUGGCGGAGCUGAUGGAGCCAUUUUCAAGUCAAACGGGUGAAAUGACAGAAAUUGCAUGUUUUUUUGCAAUUUUUGAUGAAUGUUAGCCCAUCAUUCGGGGGUAGGCCCGGGCCUCGUGCUCGAUUUUGGGCGAAAUUUCUCGCGCGGUCCCGUGACGUCCUAUUGAG
rnacentral:lncRNA from 1 species